AUGCUGUGUAGUUCUUUUGUUUUGUUGUGUUUCUUCUCCACAGGAAAAAAGCAGAAGGUGUACAGGGAACUGUGGCAGAAACAUCUGGAGCACUAGACAAUGCCAAGGACAAAGUGAAGGCAGCCGAGCGAGCCCUGAAAAAAACAAAGGAAGCCAUCCAGAGCGUGGAAGGCAAAGUCAAACAGGCUGUGAGCCAGCUCGACACACUCCUCAACAAGGAACUGCGACUGGAAAGGCGUCUGAAAGACUUGGCACAGGAUGUGGCCACCUUACAAAAGAAGUCCCAGGCUAAUCAGCGCCAGGCUCAGCAGGCCACGGGAAAAGCUGAGCGUGCCACUAAUAUAGCACUCCAGCUCAAAAACGAGGUAGACGAGGUAAAGCAAAACUACCAAAAGUUGCAGAACGAAUUGGAGAAACAGCCCAAGGAUGUCCUGCUCAGGCUGAAAAAUCUUAGGGAGGAAGCCCAGAAUCUCCUAGACAAGGCCAACAGCAGCAAAAGAAAGCUGGAAGAAUUGGAGAAGCGCUUUGAGGACAACGAGAAAGAAAUGACAAGCAAAACCACAAAACUGCAGGAGCUGGAAGAAACUGCAAAAGGAUUACUGAAGUAUAUCCAAGAGAAAGCCACUGCCUAUGCUACCUGCUAAGUUCAAGGUUCCUGUGGAUAGCCCUUUGGGUUGGCUUCCUGCCAGCUCCGAACACAACUAUGGUAUGGUGCUUUCUACUGAUGUCAAUAACUGGCUUCUUAGAGACAAGACUUUGGCGGUAAAUCCAGAGUUUUAAUGUAAUCCAGAUCAUUUCAUCCUUAACUGACUGUAGCACUUAAAUCCACCCGGGAUCAGACAUUAAUAGCAUGAUUCUAAUGUGAAUAUUUUGUAGAAACAAUGUGUCUCUAGACUAUGUUUUGACCCAGGAUUCUGGAACAUAGGCCAGUUUCUGAAGGUAUCAGCUGGACAGAUAGAAUAUUUCCGUUGUAGUUGUAGAAUGGGAACCAGUUUGGCGUAGUGGUUAAGGCACUAGGCUAGAAACCAGGAGAUUAUGAGUUUUAGUCCUGCCUUAAGGGAUGAGCCAGCUAGGUGACCUUGGGCCAGUCACUCACUCUGCCCUAGAAAAUAGGCAAGGGAAAACCACUUCUGCAAUCUUGCCAAGAAAAUAGUAGAGACUUGUCUGGGCAAUUGCCAUAAGUCAACCAUGAUUUGAAGGCAUCAAAUUGUUAUCCUAGUCAUGGAAAUACUUCCUCUUUCAACACCCUCUUCCUACGAUUCACAAAGUUAUUUUCAUUAUAGGGUAGAAACAACCAUACUUUCUGUAUGGUCCAGACUGCCAAUAUGAAUGCCAUAAAAACUGAAUGUAAGCUACUGCCAUUCAAGAUGACUGAUCAGUUCCCUUUCUUGACAUCUUUUUAAUUAUUUGUGUCCUUAUUUUUUUUAAUAAAGUAACGCACAUAUACACCAAAA